rnacentral:tRNA from 2 species
GCAACAAUAGCUUAACAUAUAGAGCAUUGGUCUUGUAAGUCAAAGGUGAAUAGAAAUAUUUCUUGUUGCU